rnacentral:rRNA from 1 species
AGCGAACGCUGGCGGCAUGCCUAACACAUGCAAGUCGCACGGGGGGGCUUCGGCCUCCCAGUGGCGGACGGGUGAGGAACGCGUAGGGACCUGUCGAGGGGUGGGGGAUAACCGCGGGAAACUGCGGCUAAUACCGCAUGACGCCGCGGCGUGACAGCCGGGGCCAAAGGCGAAAGCCGCCCGCCGAGGGGCCUGCGUCCGAUUAGCUGGUUGGCGGGGUAGCGGCCCACCAAGGCGUCGAUCGGUAGCUGGUCUGAGAGGGUGAUCAGCCACACCGGGACUGAGACACGGCCCGGACUCCUACGGGAGGCAGCAGUGGGGAAUAUUGGACAAUGGGCGCAAGCCUGAUCCAGCAAUGCCGCGUGGGUGAAGAAGGUCUGCGGAUUGUAAAGCCCUUGCGGCGGGGACGAUGGUGACGGUACCCGCAGAAGAAGCCCCGGCUAACUUCGUG